AUACGUAGGGUGCAAGCGUUAAUCGGAAUUACUGGGCGUAAAGCGUGCGCAGGCGGUUUUGUAAGACAGAGGUGAAAUCCCCGGGCUCAACCUGGGAACUGCCUUUGUGACUGCAAGGCUAGAGUACGGCAGAGGGGGAUGGAAUUCCGCGUGUAGCAGUGAAAGGCGUAGAUAUGCGGAGGAACACCGAUGGCGAAGGCAAUCCCCUGGGCCUGUACUGACGCUCAUGCACGAAGGCGUGGGGAGCAAACAGGAUUAGAUAUCCUGGUAGUCCACGCCCUAAACGAUGCCAACUGGUUGUUGGGUCUUCAUUGACUCAGUAACGAAGCUAACGCGUGAAGUUGACCGCCUGGGGAGUACGGCCGCAAGGUUGAAACUCAAAUGAAUUGACGGGG
rnacentral:rRNA from 1 species